UACGGAGGAUCCGAGCGUUAUCCGGAUUUAUUGGGGUUAAAGGGUGCGUAGGCGGCCUGUUAAGUCAGGGGUGAAAGACGGUAGCUCAACUAUCGCAGUGCCCUUGAUACUGAUGGGCUUGAAUGUACUAGAGGUAGGCGGAAUGUGACAAGUAGCGGUGAAAUGCAUAGAUAUGUCACAGAACACCAAUUGCGAAGGCAGCUUACUAUGGUAUAAUUGACGCUGAGGCACGAAAGCGUGGGGAUCAAACAGG
rnacentral:rRNA from 1 species